GAUGAACGCUGGCGGCGUGCCUAACACAUGCAAGUAGAACGGUAAGGCCCGGCUUUUGUGUUGUGCUUGAGUUGCGAACGGGUGAGUAACACGUGAGUAACCUGCCCUUGACUUUGGGAUAACUUCAGGAAACUGGAGCUAAUACCGGAUGGGAGCACCUGCUGCAUGGUGAGGGUUGGAAAGUUGCGACGGUUGGGGUUGGACAGGCGGCUUAUCCGUUUGAUGGUGAGGUAGAGGCUUAGCAAGGCCUAGACGAGUAGCCAGCCUGGGAGGGUGACCGGCCCCAUUGUGCCUGAGAUACGACCCAUACUGCUACGGGAGGCAGCAGUGGGAAAUAUUGCACACUACGCGGCGGCCGUAUGCAGCAUCUCCGCGUGCUGGAUCACUGCCUUCGGGUUAUAACCCGCUUUCGCCUGUGACGAAGCGUGAGUGACGGUAAUGUGUAAAGAAGCACCGGCUAACUACGUG
rnacentral:rRNA from 1 species